rnacentral:rRNA from 1 species
GACGAACGCUGGCGGCGUGCUUAACACAUGCAAGUCGAACGGAAAGGCCCUGCUUUUGUGGGGUGCUCGAGUGGCGAACGGGUGAGUAACACGUGAGUAACCUGCCCUUGACUUUGGGAUAACUUCAGGAAACUGGGGCUAAUACCGGGUAGGAGCUCCUGCUGCAUGGUGGGGGUUGGAAAGUUUCGGCGGUUGGGGAUGGACUCGCGGCUUAUCAGCUUGUUUGGGGGGUAGGUGCUUACCAAGGCUUUGACGGGUAGCCGGCCUGAGAGGGUGACCGGCCACAUUGGUACUGAGAUACGGCCCAGACUCCUACGGGAGGCAGCAGUGGGGAGUAUUGCAGAAUGGCCGGAAGCCUGAUGCAGAAACGCCGCGUGCGGAAUGACGGCCUUCGGGUUGUAAACCGCUUUCGCCUGUGACGAAGCGUGAGUGACGGUAAUGGGUAAAGAAGCACCGGCUAACUACGUG